UCUUCUCCAAAUUUAAAUACUGUUUCCUAUCUGCCACUGCUUCCAAUUGCACAGACGUUAGUUACUCUGAUCUAGUGUUCACAAUGUUGGGGUUGAAGGUUACAAGGUGGCCAGUGGAGUGCUUGCUUCUGGGUGAGUGGAGAGGGGAGCCAUCACCUCAGUGUGGGUGAGGGUCUGCGCCUCCGUGGAUGGGAAGGAGGAGGGGGACUCAGAUGGACUGUGUUUACAUGGAAGUUAAUUACUUGGAAGUUAAUCAGCAGUAUCAGGCGCAGGCAGGGGGCAGACAGGAGACAGAAAUAAAGAGGAAUUACACGUAAAGGAAAUGACAUCAUGCGGCCACAAAUUGGACUCAGUGUUCUUCAGUUUGCAGAUGUAUGUAUGUAUGUAUGUAUGUAUGUAUGUAUGUAUGUAUGUAUGUAUGUUUAUAUAUUUUCACAGGUGACAGGGUCUCAAUAAAUAGCUCUGGCUGGCCUGGGACUCCCAUUUGUAAGCUUGCAGAGUCCUGGGCCACCACGCUUGGCUGUAGGACGUGGCAUGCAGACACGACUUCUCACCUCCUGGUUUUUCUUCUUCUCUCCACCCAGAAGGCUGUGGGAUAAACAGGGCUUCCCCCGAUCUUUUCAUGCUGUGAGAGUUUCUAUAAGUGCAUCUGGCACUACCGGGUAGCCCUCUCAUCAUUGGAUGCCUGACUGAGAAGAGAACACCCAAGCUGACCAGACCUCAGGAACUGCCGGGCAAGUGGCAGGCUGGGAUUCCAAAUCGGGACUAUCUGACCUCAUGACUUCUGCUCUUUCAGCUCCCCUGACCUGUGUUGAAACUAUUUCUUGGCUGAAUGGAAGGGAAGACUGUGCUUCUCGCUGGAGCGAGCCUGCCCGCCUGCCCG
rnacentral:lncRNA from 1 species